rnacentral:rRNA from 1 species
UACGAAGGGGGCUAGCGUUGUUCGGAUUAACUGGGCGUAAAGAGCGUGUAGGCGGCUUUACAGGUCCGUUGUGAAAACUCGAGGCUCAACCUCGAGACGCCGGUGGAAACCGUAAAGCUAGAGUCCGGAAGAGGAGAGUGGAAUUCCUGGUGUAGCGGUGAAAUGCGCAGAUAUCAGGAGGAACACCCGUGGCGAAAGCGGCUCUCUGGGACGGUACUGACGCUGAGACGCGAAAGCGUGGGGAGCAAACAGG